UCAACAGCCCUUGAAGGCAUCUUCAAAAAGGUAUCAACGUCACCUAGUGGACAUUAGUAUAUAACAGUUAAGUGUUAAUGCGCGUCUGCCUGACAGAUGCGCGUUUCUGGAUUCGAUUCAGGACUUGGCUCCCGAACUAUCACAAUCAUGACAACAAUAAAAUACAGUACGUAGUUGGCAUAGAAUUAAUUAAAAAAAAUUAAUAAAAAUAAAUGAAUAUUUGAAAUACAUCAGUCUGUGUACAAUGUAUGAAAAGAAUGUACAAGUUUCACUUUUUCAAUGGAAUUACACAUUUUUGAUGAUAUUCUAAUUGAAUGUACGCCACUGUAAUACAAAAUACAAAACGGCUUUGAAAAGAGACCUUACGGAGGUUCUCCAGCAGGGGGUGCUAGUGAUCCCGGGAUGCGUCAUGCGCCUACCUGUAAGAGCUCUCCAGUUCAAAUUUACAGUGAGCACCUGAGGCGCAGUCGUUUUACAUUCAUUUUUUCAAUUUCCGUUUUUACAUUUCGUUUUACAAUGGAGGAUUACAUAUGCAAACGAUUCUCAACUAUGGAUUUUCGGUCGAAGCAGGAGAUCAUCAGUAAAGGAAGAGCAACUCCGGAGUUAAAAGGUUUGAUUCGGACAACGGGACUUCGGAGCAUCUUUUCAAACGGAGUGCGCUCAUAAAGGCCUCCCAGCCAGCACCCUUCUGUAUUCAACUGUAUUCAGCUGACUGACGGCAGCAACUUUAGGAGGGACUCCCAGACUUCCCUCUCUCCAGCCACCUCAUUGCAGGGGAUCCCACGACGUUCCCAGGCCAUGUAUUGUUUGUAUUAGACACCUUCAAGUUCCUGGGAACCACAAUCUCUCGGGACCUGAAAUGGACCGGCCACAUAGACUCUGUCCGGAAGAAGGCCCAGCAGAGGCUGUACUUCCUGAGACAGCUCAAGAAGUUCAACCUGCCGCGAGAGCUUCUGAAGACCUUCUACACUGCCAUCGUCCAGUCUGUCCUCUGCACCUCCAUCACUGUCUGGUUUGGAUCGGCCUCCAAACAAGACAAGCACAGGCUACAACGGACAAUCAGAACUGCAGAAAAGAUCAUUGGAAUCAACCUCCCAUCUAUCCGAGACUUGUACCUGUCCAGGACCAGGAAUCGGGCAAGGAACAUCUCUACAGACCCUUCUCACCCGGGUUGCAGUCUGUUUGAACUACUCCCCUCCGGACGGUGUUAUAGAGCUCGGUACGCCAAAACCAGCAGACACAGAGACAGCUUCUUCCCCCAGGCUGUUGCUCUGAUGAACUCACACCACUCAUAGAGUCUCAGAGACAUUACUGUGCAAUAACAUCCUGCUCCUCGCACCUUUUUGAAUUUGUCUACACUGUUUUUGCCAUUAUUCACAUGUCCUGAAUGUUGUUAGUCACCUAAAUGUUGAACAGAGGGUGUGUUUCUACCGAAGUCAAAUUCCUUGUUUGGCACGCUCAAACAUGGCGAAUAAAAAACUCUUGAAUCUUGAA